rnacentral:rRNA from 1 species
UGGGGAAUUUUGGACAAUGGGCGCAAGCCUGAUCCAGCCAUGCCGCGUGAGUGAAGAAGGCCUUCGGGUUGUAAAGCUCUUUCGGCGGGGACGAAACGGUUCGUGACAACACCACGGACUAAUGACGGUACCCGCAUAAGAAGCACCGGCUAACUUCGUGCCAGCAGCCGCGGUAAUACGAAGGGUGCAAGCGUUAAUCGGAAUUACUGGGCGUAAAGCGUGCGUAGAUGGCCGAUUAAGUCGGAUGUGAAAGCCCCGGGCUCAACCUGGGAACGGCAUCCGAUACUGGUGGGCUAGAGUGCGGUAGAGGAGAGCGGAAUUCCCGGUGUAGCGGUGAAAUGCGUAGAGAUCGGGAGGAACAUCCGUGGCGAAGGCGGCCCUCUGGACCAGCACUGACGUUGAGGCACGAAAGCGUGGGGAGCAAACAGGAUUAGAUACCCUUGUAGUCCCUGAGCGGGCUGGCAAGGCGCAU